UACGGGGGGAGCAAGCGUUGUUCGGACUUACUGGGCGUAAAGGGCGCGUAGGCGGUCAGCACAAGUCAGUUGUGAGAUCUCCGAGCUUAACUCGGAAAGGUCAACUGAUACUGUGCGACUAGAGUGCGGAAGGGGCAACUGGAAUUCUUGGUGUAGCGGUGAAAUGCGUAGAUAUCAAGAGGAACACCUGCGGCGAAGGCGGGUUGCUGGGCCGACACUGACGCUGAAGUGCGAAAGCCAGGGGAGCGAACGGG
rnacentral:rRNA from 1 species